UAACGUGACAGAGAAUGACUGCCCCUCGCCCCUGCGGGUAGAGGUGGUGAUGGUGAAAAGGUGGGGUAAGAGCCCACCGGGUGGUGUGGCGACACAUCAUGCCGCACGUCUUAUGGGUUGCAAGGCCAUGUAUACCGGCGCGCAGUGUCUUCGGACACUGCAAUGGGUUGCUCGCCCAUUGCCGGGGGGUAGGCUGCUCGAGUGCCGAACAAGUCUGCGAGGCACCACUUAGAUAAAUGACUGCGACCGCCGCGGCAACCUGUCAGAUUGCCUGACGAGAAGUCCCGCGACGACAUAACCCGGCUUAUAGUCCGGCUGUCUUC
rnacentral:RNase_P_RNA from 1 species